UACGAAGGGGGCUAGCGUUGCUCGGAAUUACUGGGCGUAAAGGGCGCGUAGGCGGCUGUGUUAGUCAGGCGUGAAAUUCCUGGGCUCAACCUGGGGACUGCGCUUGAUACGGCAUGGCUUGAGGAUGGAAGAGGCUCGCGGAAUUCCCAGUGUAGAGGUGAAAUUCGUAGAUAUUGGGAAGAACACCGGUGGCGAAGGCGGCGAGCUGGUCCAUUACUGACGCUGAGGCGCGACAGCGUGGGGGAGCAAACAGG
rnacentral:rRNA from 1 species